CCAUCCGAGUUGGGUCCAAGUGAUGUUGUCUCUGAUUGGGACACUAGAACUUGGGUUCAGCAAGGGGGGUUAAGUCGUAACAAGGUAUCUGUAGGGGAACCUGCAGAUGGAUCACCUCCU
rnacentral:ncRNA from 1 species